rnacentral:rRNA from 1 species
AAGGAUCAUUACAGUAGUCAUCCGGGUUGCCGCAAGGCCUCCCGGGUAACCUACCACCCUUUGUUUAUUACACUUUGUUGCUUUGGCAGGCCUGCCCUCGGGCUGCUGGCUCCGGCCGGCGAGCGUCUGCCAGAGGACCUAAACUCUGUUUGUCUAUAAUGUCUGAGUACUAUAUAAUAGUUAAAACUUUCAACAACGGAUCUCUUGGUUCUGGCAUCGAUGAAGAACGCAGCGAAAUGCGAUAAGUAAUGUGAAUUGCAGAAUUCAGUGAAUCAUCGAAUCUUUGAACGCACAUUGCGCCCCCUGGUAUUCCGGGGGGCAUGCCUGUCCGAGCGUCAUUACAACCCUCAAGCUCAGCUUGGUGUUGGGCCCCGCCGCCCCGGCGGGCCCUAAAGUCAGUGGCGGUGCCGUCCGGCUCCGAGCGUAGUAAUUCUUCUCGCUCUGGAGGUCCGGUCGUGUGCUUGCCAGCAACCCCCAAUUUUUUUCAGGUUGACCUCGGAUCAGGUAGGGAUACCCGCUGAACUUAA